GGCCCUUCACAAGUUUUAGUAUAACACCAGUGAGAAAAAUUUGCAGAUUGUUCUGUGUAGACCAGAAAUCAGAAGGUGAUAAAGGGGCAAUUAGAUUUGAAUAAUCCGGAGAUAUGAAGUGUAUUUGGUAUUCACCUCCUUCUAUUUCUCUAUGAAGACAAAAUGGAUAGAUGACCUCUCCAUGUGAAAUGGGACACAUAAGUUUUUAAGAUGAUUCUGAAAGACAGUUCCUUAUACAAUCACUCAGGUGAUGUUCCAAACACAGGGCUGUGGAGGGGAUGGUGGCUGCCGGUGGUUGCUGUCAGCCACAGGGUUGGUUUGUUUCCCACAGGUUCCAGAAAUAGUUUCUAAUAACAAAUGUCAUAUUUUGUUUAGAAUUGAUUUAUUUUUUAUAAUUUAUUUUCUCCCUGUAGGCAGCACUCAGAAGUAUGUUCUCAGAAUAAUUCCUGAUCCUCUGUGAGUUCCUGGUGCAGCUCCUGGAGGCAAAGCCUGCAUGGGGGAGGGAGCCCUCCUCACAUGCAGCCCUGAGGCUGCCACGUCACUUCACCCACCGUUGCCCUUCAGUCACUUCCUGAACACUUAUGAGUUGAUCUUCCUGAAACAUGUGGUAUUUGGCAGUGUCUUUCCCAGGACAUUGAUUAUGGGAUUCACCAGAAGCUGCUGGCCUUUCACAGGCACAGACCUUCCUCUACACCAGUGGUCCCCAACAUUUUUGGCACCAGGGAACGGUUUCGUGGCAGACAAUUUUUCCAUGGAUGAUGGCGGCUGCACCCUUUACAAGGAGUCUCCAGUGGUACAGCGGAUUUUCCUCCAUCCUCCACUUCCCCUCCUGGCUGCAGCAUCCACAGAUUAUUUUCUUGAAUCUGACCCCAGUUGUUUAUUAAUUAUACCCCUUUUCAUGACACGGGAAGGCUAAGAUGAAGCUGUCUGGGAUGGAAAAGAAUCCCUUCCUCUCACAUAGAAUAAAGAUCUUGAAAAGUA
rnacentral:lncRNA from 1 species